UGUCCAUGAUUUUAUUUCUAUUAAAAAAAAAAUUGAAUUUUUCAAUUUAAGUUAUAUACGAAUACACUACUAUGAAUAAAUCAUUCACAUAUUAUUGAUAUUGAAUUUAUCUUUGAAAAGAAUAAUUUCCAAUGUCUACGAAAUGCCAUGCUUGUUGCAGGGCCAAUGCAAUUUACUGAACUGGCAGAUGACUAAGAAGCGCGGGAAGAAUUCAUAAUGAAAGAUGCGCGCGCAAGAUUCUUCGUAAAGGGAUGUAAAAACAAAUUUCAACGUCAACUUAUGGCACGAUGGAAAUUAAGAGAAGAAAACAGGCAAAGAAGAGAAAACGGGUAAAGGAACAACGAUGGAUAUUUAGGAUGGAGCAUUGGCGCGAACCAUAAAGGGAACCACUCGAAAGAAGAAGAAGAAGAAGAAGAAGACGAAGAACAUCUUCUGAAGAGUGCUUGAGAUUUACGAGAAAAUAGAGCGUGAUUCUGGAACUAUGGUUGGUUGGAUUUUUAUGAGACUUACGGUAC